GACGGACGCUGGUUUGGUCAUUAUAGUUAAUGACGCAUCAUCAUACACGUUGAUCUAUCGGCGAGUUGUUCUUGGCUACAUCUUAGCUCCUGCUCCUCAUGCUAGGCCGGCAUGCGGUUGUGACGCUUCUUGGCAUGGUGAUUCCAAGCAUGUCAUGCUGGUAAGUUGUUGUUGGUGGUGUAUUCCUGCUUAAUUUAGGGAGAAAACUAAGGAGCUCACCGCAUAUCUGCUUGUUAAUUAAUCCUUCCUUCUAUGAAUCGACAUCUCUCGCAAAUCCGGAUGCAUAUCUUCACUUGAGUUGAGGGCCAUGGUUGGGCAGCAGCAGCAGCCAUCUCUCUGCGCUGCUCCGCUAGAUAGGAGUUCAACAUAUGGACAGAUUGAUACUGUCUGUACGUGCUCUGGGCCUGGCCACUUGCCGACUUGCGGUUGCAGAAACUGCCAAUUAUAAAUGCUGUGAUAUAUAGCUCUCCUGUAAGAUUCCACGGGCACCGACGUACGCCUGGCUGGACCAAGCACGAAUGGUACCAGCUAACAAAAUUUGCCGCGAGACAGUAGUUUAUAAUUUGGCACACUGCUACGGUUUGUGCCAUCUUAUCAUUUCAUUAGUUUAUUCAAUAUAUAAAUCAUCUUAUAAUCAACGGAAGGAGACAAAACCUCCAUAAGCAAAUGGCUGAACACACUACUGAAUACUGUUAAUUUGGCUGAACCACUUUUCUUGGUAAAGCCUGGCCCACUUUUAAUUUGAAGUCAAUCUGGUGUUCGGGUAUCUGAUUUUUCUAAUUUAAGUUAUGGAACGUAUGGUGCUAAUGUGGUAGCGUGGUCCAAUUAUGCACUUAGCUAGUUCAAAUUAGUGUAUGGGAUGAGUUUGUGUACAAAAGUUAUGUUUGGAAAAAUUUAGAAGAUUAAGUUUUAGAGGAUCUGCUGGAUGAACAAAACUUUAACCCCUAGAAGAAAUAUUUGAAUUUUUUUAUAAGAGUGAGAUUUGGACUUUUAGAUUAUACUAGAAGGGCUGGAUGCACUUUGCUGCGCCUUUGGUGUUGUUGGGUUUCUUAGAAACAUUACUUUGUUCUGUUUCAAAAUAUAAUGUAUUAAUUUUUGAAAAGUUUAAAUUUUUAAGUUUGAUCAAAUUUGUAGAAAUAUAUUAAAAUUCAUAAUAUCAAAUCGGUAUGAUUAGAUUCAUCAUGAAAGGAAUUCCUGCACUUUUUUUUUGUUUAACAUUGUGGAUGUCGAUUUUUUUUGCUCUGAAACAUGGUCAAAGUUAAAGAAAUUUGACUUAAAAAAACUAAUACCCAUUCUAUUUUGGACUGAUGGAAUAUUCAGUUUGGCGGGUGGGGAGAUAAUGGUGUCUGUUUUAUUUUUAUUUGUAAUAAUAUAGUGAUUUUAUGGGCCUUUCGUGGUGUGGUUCUGCGUUAUCCGUUAACCAACAUAUAUUUAUGCGGAUUUUUUUGCGUCAGUGGAUACAUGUACUAUAUUAGUGCUACAAUUUCAUAUGAUGACACUUCCUUUUUGUAGGUGAUGAGAAUGUGUGUGAGAUUGAUAUGUUUUUCUAGGUCGGUUGCUACUGACUAAUUUAAAUCAUUGGCCCGAUCCAGAUCAAAAACCAAAUCCAAAAUUAAGUAUCUUAAUUGAAUGAAAAAGCUUCAAAAUUAGGAAACAUAUGCAAUUAGAAUAAUUGGAGGGGAGAGAUCCUUAAGAAAUUGUUGACCCAGUCAAAAUCGGGUGACCGAGUUCUAAACUGAAGACCUCAAUUAAUUGUGAGACCUUAGGGAGCGGUAUCAUAUUACACUAUCAUCACAACCUCCGCGUUGCUUCUAGGGGCGACUCGGAUGGAGAAAUCCUAGUAAUCACCCAACCUCCCCUACUUCCUGUCCCUCCGCUCAUCAUCGUCGAUGGAUGCCGACGGCGAAGCCCUCACCAGUGGACGGUGGUGGCAGGGUCCUUGUUCAUGUGCUCGCGUGCUGUUGUUGGGCGCGCUGGAGCGGCGAGAGCACGCGGUGGCACGGCGGGCGGUUGCCUACUAUCAGGAGAGGUCGAGAUGGCGUGGACCGUCCAUGCGGUGGAGCUUCUAUGGCGGCUGCCGAUCUCUCAUGCAUGCGACAGAGUUGAGGGCGUCCAAUUCUGGACUGCCCUGGCCCGUGACAAUCACUCUGCCCCCACCCACCCUUCUUCCGCCUCCCACCCUCCUAGCCGAAUCCGGUGACAGCCGUUGGUGGGUUGGUUAGCACGUGCACGGCUACCCUGACGAUUGCUGCUAUGGUGUGACCUGGAAGAUCCUAGCGACAUAGGUCGCGGACGAGCGUGGCAGUGGCAUGGUGCAUGUAGGUGCUCUUGCCUGGUAAACACGCUCAUGGAAGUGGCCAACAUCCUGGCGCUGUGCCUGCCGGUGCCCACUCUACGAUGAUAACAUUCUCAGGCUCCCUCGUGUGUGUGUUGUCUUCUUCGACGAUUCUUUGCCAUGUCUGGUCUGCCACUGAAUCCGAGGUCUUUUCUCGUGGGUUGGGGCAAAAUCCUCGCGUAACGAUGGCCUUUGUUGUCAAAUGCGACGCCCGAGGGUGACGUCACCUCCUUGGAGGCUUUGGCAUGAUGACCCUAACCGGACGUCCUUCGUGAGCACCAAGAGAAAUCCUAGCUGCAGCCUCCUAGAUUGGGCAGCAGAGGCGUCUCAACACCGUUCCCCUCUUGAAGGCACUACCUUGGCUGCAAAAUGGAGUGCUUGAUGCGGCGGAUGGUGGCUGGUGAUGCAUCACUCUACGUAGACCGCCACACAAGGAGUAGGUCACAUCAUAUGCCAGCGUCGAUGCUCCCCCAACGAAUGCUACACCAAUUCCAAUCGGGCCUGCCUUUCACUCGCCGACUCCCUAGGCACAUGGGUGCGAGGUACGUCAACCUGGGCAGUCCUGGAUCUGCAAUCAUCCAUGGAGGUGUUUGUCAAUGGUGGUGACGCUGCCCUCUUGCUCCAAAUCUCCGCGUCUCGCCAUUUAUGAUUGGAGGCAAGGCCGGCGAUGCCUGAUGUCAUUGCGUGUGUGUAGAUGAGGGCACCUCCUUACCUAGUUGUAGUCAUUUGGUGAGGACGAUCACGCGCGUGCGUGUGCGUGUAUAUGUGUGUGUGUCCCUCCUUUCUGGAGGUUUUACUCCCGUCCUCCAGAAAAAUGAUAAGGAAGCAUAUUGUAUAGUAUAGGAGAAUUAGAUAAGAGAGAUUUGAGAAAUUGUUGACCCGGUCAAAAUUGAAUAACCUAAUUUCAAUUGACGACCUCAAUUGAACGCGGGCUCGUUAAAACUAAGGAGCAUGCCGUCCCAUCUCGUGGGUCGCUCCUACGACUCACGAUGCGAUCACCGACGCUUGCCCGAACAGCCGGGCCCCCGCGCUCCUCUCCCUCACCGUCGCCGACGGACUCUGGCCGGCCCGCGGUGGCGGCGGGGCGGCUUCCUCCACCUCUUCCUCUCCUUUCGUGCCCUUCAUCCGGGCUCCCUCUUCCCCGACUAGCAACCAGAUCCUCCCAUGCGCCCUUCGCUUGCCCUUGGCGGUCGUGACCUUGAGUGGUGGCGGUGUGGCAACCCUCGGCAGGCAUGAGGGUGGCAUGUGAUGCGGCCGCUGGAUCUUGGUGGAGCUGCUCCGAGCAUAUGGCUUACGAUCAUGGGUGGGUUCCCGGCCGUCGCCGCACUGGAUCCGCCAGCUUCGACAUGCUCCCUUCGAUCUGUUGUCUCCCGUGGACAUGGCCCUCCUCUCGUCGGUGGCCCUGAUGGCUGCUUCUCCCGGGAUGCCCGGUAGCCUAGAUCUAGGGUUUGUCUGUGUGGGGGGAAAGCUGCCGGCUUUGGGUGCAGUGGGUGCGGAGUUGCCACGACGCGGUAGCAUGGGUGGCCGACUGCGUGCUUGCGGUCCAUCACCAUUGGUGUGGUGGGUGAGAUUGGAUCCCCUCGAUUGCUGGAGCGGCGGCUCCAUAUAGUGGGCGCGGCAACACCUUUCCAAUGGGUGUUGCUGCGCGGGUGCUCGUGUGUUGCCUUGGCCUUGCGGACGGUGAGGUGACUCAUUUGGGGGCGUCCCUCAUGCGGGUUUGGUCUUUGCUGCCAUCCGGGUUGUUUCAGGCGUCAUGUGUAACCUUCCUUGGCCGACCAUGGCUGUUGGAUCUGAUUGGUGGGGGUCAAGUCCCGAUUGAAAGCUUUGCCCGACUACAUUGGUGGCGGUGAUAGCGACACUGGUGUGUGUCGUUUCCCUUCUUGAAGGUGUCAUUGUGGGUGACCCCAUUCACCAUAGGCUUUGGGUGAAAAUCAUUGGUCUGGCUGGUUACAGACCGGAAGGUGACGACACAGUGGCAUCGUGUCCUCCUUGGAGGCUCCGUCUUGUGAGAAAGGUCCUAUGCUGUUGGUUGCUGGGAUGAGUGUUUGUGUAUGACAACUUCUUCUUGCCAUGUGUCGGCCCCUUGCCUCAACGGUGUUGCUCUCAUGUGUAGCUAGGUUUCGCGUGGUGGUUGUGCCCGAAGACCUCCCUUUGGUGUCCUGGCCUAGCCUCCAUCCGUGUUCUAGGGUGGUGAGCAUUCCGUCGUCCGGUGGUGCGACACCUCUCGAGCCGGGGCGAGGAGAUGGGGGAUCCUUCUAGCGAUACAAGAUGGCGCUGGUCUGUUGAGCGCCCACACGACGGAAUUGGCAUAGCCUCCUCUACCGGAUGAUCUCCUUCUCGAGCCAGGUCCAUUCACAUCAUUGGUCCUCUGCACAUGCCCGAGGGCUCCCAUGUCUCACUUUCUUACUUUUGAGCUAUGUUG
rnacentral:lncRNA from 1 species